UACGUAGGCAGCAAGCGUUGUUCGGAGUUACUGGGCGUAAAGAGUAUGUAGGCGGUUGCGUAAGUUCGGUGUGAAAUCUCCCGGCUUAACUGGGAGGGUGCGCCGAAAACUGCGUGGCUUGAGUGCGGGAGAGGAGAGCGGAAUUCCUGGUGUAGCGGUGAAAUGCGUAGAUAUCAGGAGGAACACCAAUAGCGAAGGCAGCUCGCUGGGGACGUUUACUGACACUGAGGCGCGAAAGCGUGGGGAGCGAACAGG
rnacentral:rRNA from 1 species